GGUAGUUAGUAAACCAUUAUAUACUGGCGGUCUAUACAAAUUAGAGAAACUCGCUUUAUAAUCGUAAAUACCCGAUAAGUUUAACCUGAGUCAUGAUUCGCCUAUAUACCGCCGUAAAGAAUCUAAUUAAUAUUCCAAAUUCACCACACUCCUUAUACUUAAAAUCAGGUCAAGGUGUAGCUAAUACUCAGGAAAAAGUAAGUUACACUAAAAACAAUUUAAGAACAAUAUUCCCAAGCUGAUUAGAAAAAGAAUUUAAACGUACAUAUAAAUUAAAAUUUUAUAUAGAAUUAUAGAGUAAAGAUGC
rnacentral:rRNA from 1 species